UACGGAGGAUCCAAGCGUUAUCCGGAUUUAUUGGGUUUAAAGGGUGCGUAGGUGGCCUGUUAAGUCAGGGGUGAAAGACGGUAGCUCAACUAUCGCAGUGCCCUUGAUACUGAUGGGCUUGAAUGAACUAGAGGUAGGCGGAAUGUGACAAGUAGCGGUGAAAUGCAUAGAUAUGUCACAGAACACCAAUUGCGAAGGCAGCUUACUAUGGUUUUAUUGACACUGAGGCACGAAAGCUAGGGGAGCGAAUGGG
rnacentral:rRNA from 1 species